AUGACAGGGACUCUCUUUCCAAGAAAUUACACUGUGUUCAGUUCUCUCCCAUCAAGAGCAGGCAAUGUUCCGGAUCCGGCCAUUGUCGUGUCUGCCGAAAAACCACAUCUGGUUCACCACCGCCUCAACAGAUACACAAUGAAAUACAAAGGCCAAUUCUGCGGUGUACACAAUCCGUGUCAGUUUACCCAGAGGAUUCCAGAUGGAAUGAACUCCGCAGACGGGGUUCACGGAGCGCAGGCGAUGCUGGGGGAGGAGCCCUCAUUGUCUCCCUUGGAAAUCGUAAGGCGAAUGUUGGUGCUGGGAGGACAUCUCGCGCUGCAGCGGUGGAGGCGGAGGCGUUUUACACGUUGUUAAGGUAGGAGUGACGGCAUCUGUAUUUAAACCUAAUAGAAAAUAUCAGCCACCGUUUCUUGAAUGUCUGCUCUAGGCCAGAGGCCGGGCUUAAGAAUUUUCUUUGCCUGGACACAGUUCUGUGAGGUCGCCAGAGGUGUGGCUCUUGAGCGUUUUAUAGAUGUGGUAAAGUGACCUUCCCCAAACUGGAGUGGCUUCGUGUUUUUGAUUGUUUACCUGUAUCUCAUUGAUGUUGAGUAUAUGCCCAGGAGUUUGUUUAUUUGUUUGUUUAUUUAUUUGCUUUUUAGGGCCACACCUUUGGAAGUUCCUGGGCUGGGGGCCGAAUGGGAGCUGCCGUGACCCGCCUGCACCAAGCCACAGCAACGCGGGACCUGAGCCGCGUCUGCAGCCUCACACCACAGCUCACAGCAACACUGGAUCCUUAACCCUCUGAGCAAGGCCAGGGAUUGAACCCGCAUCUCGAGGAUACUUGUCGGGCUCAUUACCAGUGAGCCACAACGGGAACUCCUGCCCAGUAGUUGAAUUGCCCUGUCAUACCUGGGUUUGCUGCCAGACCAUUUUCUAAAGUCCUGAUAUUAACCCAAGGAGCAGAGCCACAUUUGGGAGUACGUCUGGCUGGUGCCUGCUCUAAUAUUUUUAGACUCAGCAAUAUAUCCCAUCAAGAUGCCACGUGUAAAGAAUAGGGUCUUUCCAAGAAAACAUUGCUCCUGGCAAAUAGAGAUUUGUGGGGGGGGGGCGAUUGCUUUAUUUUGCAAACAUUUCUAUUAAUAUCUGACAACAACGUACCCACGACGUGGAUAAAUCUCAAGCAAACAGCUCACUGAAUUUUCACAAAGUGAUUACUCCCUUGAGAGCUCCCCCCCAUCAAGGUACAGGGCAUGACUACAUUGAGAUCCUGCUGUAUAGCACAGGGAACUCUGUCUAGUCACUCAUGAUGGAAUACGAUGGAGGAUAAUGUGAGAAAAAGAAUAUGUGCGUGUGUGUGUGUGUGUGUGUGUGUGUGUGUGUGUGUGAGUGAUUGGGUCACUUGGCUAAACAGCAGAACUUGACAGAACAUUGCAACUAUAAUAAAAAAAAUGUAAAAAAAAAUAAAUAAAAAUGU
rnacentral:lncRNA from 1 species